rnacentral:rRNA from 1 species
UAGGGAAUCUUCGGCAAUGGGGGGAACCCUGACCGAGCAACGCCGCGUGAGUGAAGAAGGUUUUCGGAUCGUAAAGCUCUGUUGUUAAGGAAGAACGAGUGUGAGAAUGGAAAGUUCAUACUGUGACGGUACUUAACCAGAAAGGGACGGCUAGCUACGUGCCAGCAGCCGCGGUAAUACGUAGGUGGCAAGCGUUGUCCGGAUUUAUUGGGCGUAAAGCGAGCGCAGGCGGUCAAUUAAGUCUGAUGUGAAAGCCCCCGGCUCAACCGGGGAGGGUCAUUGGAAACUGGUUGACUUGAGUGCAGAAGAGGAGAGUGGAAUUCCAUGUGUAGCGGUGAAAUGCGUAGAUAUAUGGAGGAACACCAGUGGCGAAGGCGACUCUCUGGUCUGUAACUGACGCGGAGGCUCGAAAGCGUGGGUAGCAAACAGG